UUUUAAGGGAAAAGCCAUAAAAUUUAUUUUUAAGAGACAGAGAAUCUCCCGAACCUCGUUUCCAUGGCUCAACAACUUCCAAUCGUAGUAUAUCCUGCACAAAAUCAUUAGUACAUGCAAUUACCCAAGAACAUCAAGGUAAACAAAACAAUUAUAUUCUCAUUUUUGUAGCAAGAUUCAGGGUUAAAGAAUACUUUCUUGAAAUUUGGGGAUUCAAAGAACUGUAGCGAAUUUGGGGACUCGAAAACUGUAAGGAAAUUGAUGGAAUCGAGAAACUGUAGUGAAUUUGGGGAAUCGAAAAAUUGUAGUGAAAUUGACGGAAUCGAGAAACAGUGGCGAAUUUGGGAAAUCGAGGCAGUGUAUUUCGAAAUCAGAUUUAAAAAUCUUAAGACAUCAAGAUUUAGGGAAUGCGAGAUUUAUGGAAUUUGUAACAUUUACGCAAGAUUUAAAGAUCUAAGAAUAGUGUAGCAAUCUGGAUUAUAGGGAGAUGUAAGAGAAGUUUUGUGAUUGAUGUGAUAGAACUGAUGCUUGGAAAAUUCUAAUUCAAUAAGACAUUGUAGCAAAACUAAAACAGCUGCUUAUAUAUCUAUAAAUCUAAUAUAUUUUGAUGCUAUAUUUGUCUAAUUGUUUUUUAAAUGGAAGAAAAAUACACAUAUUAAUUAAAAUGUGCAAUUUGGUAUCAAAAAAUUAAAAUGUUUUUAGUUUUGUACUCACCAUUUCAUAUGAAAAUUUAGUGUUCCCUUUAUAAAUGAAUUAGGUAUGAAU
rnacentral:sRNA from 1 species